UACGGAGGGUGCGAGCGUUAAUCGGAAUUACUGGGCGUAAAGCGCGCGUAGGCGGCUUGGUCAGUCGGAUGUGAAAGCCCCGGGCUUAACCUGGGAAUUGCAUUCGAUACUGCCGAACUAGAGUAUGGGAGAGGGAAGUGGAAUUUCCGGUGUAGCGGUGAAAUGCGUAGAUAUCGGAAGGAACACCAGUGGCGAAGGCGACUUCCUGGCCCAAUACUGACGCUGAGGUGCGAAAGCGUGGGUAGCGAACAGG
rnacentral:rRNA from 1 species